GGUAGCGUGUCCGAGCGGCCGAAGGAGCUCGCCUCGAAAGCGAGUGUGGGGGCAACUCCACCGAGGGUUCGAAUCCCUCCGCUACCG
rnacentral:tRNA from 1 species